CACCAGGUCAGGACACGGUAAGGAUUGACGGACUGAAGGCUCUUUCUCGAUUCCGUGGAAAGUGGUGCAUGGCCGUUUUUGGUUGGUGGAUCGAUCCGUCUGGUUAAUUCCGUUAACGAACGAGACCUCGGCACUCCGAAUAGCGCGGCGGACGUCGCGGCCUCCGGGCCGUCUUCCGCACGAGCUUCUUAGAGGGACCGUCCCCCGCCGGGGAAGGAGGUGCGAGGCAACGACAGGUCUGUGAUGCCCUUAGAUGUUCUGGGCCGCACGCGCAUUACACUGACGCGUCCAACGGGUGACUCCCGACCCGAAGGGGCCGGGGAAUCCGCAAGGCGCGUCGUGAUGGGGAUUGAACGUUGCAAUUGUUGUUCACGAACGAGGAAUUCCUAGUAGGCGCGGGUCAUCAACCCGCGCCGAUUACGUCCCUGCC
rnacentral:rRNA from 1 species